GACAAACGCUGGCGGCAUGCCUAACACAUGCAAGUCGAACGAGACCUUCGGGUCUAGUGGCGCACGGGUUCGUAACGCGUGGGAAUCUGACCUUGGGCUCGGGCUAACAGUUGGAAACGACUGCUAAUAUCUGAUGAUGACUUCGGUCCAAAGAUUUAUAGCCCAGGGAUGAGCCCGCGUCGGAUUAGCUAGUUGGUGGGGUAAAGGCCUACCAAGGCGACGAUCCGUAGCUGGUCUGAGAGGAUGAUCAGCCACACUGGGACUGAGACACGGCCCAGACUCCUAUGGGAGGCAGCAGUGGGGAAUAUUGGACAAUGGGCGAAAGCCUGAUCCAGCAAUGCCGCGUGAGUGAUGAAGGCCUUAGGGCUGUAAAGCUCUUUUACCCGGGAUGAUAAUGACAGUACCGGGAGAAUAAGCCCCGGCUAACUCCGUGCCAGCAGCCGCGGUAAGAC
rnacentral:rRNA from 1 species